GACGAACGCUGGCGGCGUGCUUAACACAUGCAAGUCGAACGGAAAGGCCCUGCUUUUGUGGGGUGCUCGAGUGGCGAACGGGUGAGUAACACGUGAGUAACCUGCCCUUGACUUUGGGAUAACAUCAGGAAAAUGGGGCUAAUACCGGAUAGGAGCUCCUGCUGCAUGGUGGGGGUUGGAAAGUUUCGGCGGUUGGGGAUGGACUCGCGGCUUCUCAACUUGUUGGUGGGGUAGUGGCUUACCAAGGCUUUGACGGGUAGCCGGCCUGAGAGGUUGACCGGCCACAUUGCGACUGAGAUACGGCCCAGACGCCUACGGGAGGCAGCAGUGGGGAAUAUUGCACAAUGGGCGGAAGCCUGAUGCAGCAACGCCGCGUGCGGGAUGACGGCCUUCGGGUUGUAAACCGCUUUCGCCUGUGACGAAGCGUGAGUGACGGUAAUGGGUAAAGAAGCACCGGCUAACUACGUG
rnacentral:rRNA from 1 species